rnacentral:rRNA from 1 species
AGUAACACGUGAGCAACCUGCCUUUCAGAGGGGGACAACAGUUGGAAACGACUGCUAAUACCGCAUAAAAUAACGGAACCGCAUGAUUCUGUUAUCAGAGGAGAAAUCCGCUGAAAGAUGGGCUCGCGUCUGAUUAGAUAGUUGGUGAGGUAACGGCCCACCAAGUCGACGAUCAGUAGCCGGACUGAGAGGUUGAACGGCCACAUUGGGACUGAGACACGGCCCAGACUCCUACGGAAGGCAGCAG